GUUUAGUUUCCCUGAACUUCUUGUUCUACAGAAAUUUUGCAUCUGGAAACUAGCUGGGGUUGAUUCUCUGAUCACACAAGGCAAAAACAAACAUUGCACACUUUUGCUUCCUGCAUUACAGCUUGCGACAAUCUACUGUCAGUGGCGUUCAGCUGUGUCCCUCCAGAUNUUCCAACUCCCAUAAUUCCAUGCCAGGAACUUCUGCAGGACUGCAGAUACUACAGGAACAGCAAAAGAUGUAACAGAAGAAUCUGUCUCAGAAGAUGACAAAAGAAGGUAUGUUGCAAUAGACUGGACUGAAGAUAUGGUCUCAAAAAAGGA
rnacentral:lncRNA from 1 species